CUCUUCCCUGUGGGCCUAUAUAAAAAUACCUCCUGUUCAUCAAGUUCUACCUACAUGAAGCCUUCUUGCUUUCCUCCCUUUGGAAGAAAUAAAUUCUUCCUGGAAAUGUGUUGAGAUGCUCAGAGUCUCGAUUAGAAGCAAGGAUUUGGACCCGCAGGGGAGAAAUUGAGUGACCGAAGAAGUGAGGGUGCUGUGUGAAGCACAGGGCCCUGGAAUCCACUCCUUGAAGCUGCUAAAGUCGGUCUGCAUUCAUCUCCUCAAGAUUUAGGACCUUCUUGGGCCGGUAUUUUGAUGCAAGUCUUCAGCAAUUGAUUGUUUUCCCCAGCUUGGAGUUAUUGGCUAAUUUGGAAAGGCGGCCUUCUAGGUCUUUCUUCAAGCUGCUGGGUCUCACCAGGCUGCAAUCCAGAUGUUGACUGGGACUAUGGCCUCACCUGAUGUUCAGAGUCCACUUCUAAGCUCAGCCAGUUGUUGGAGGAAUUCAGUUUCUCAUGGAUGCUGGACUGAGGUCCCUUGGCUCCUGGAGUCCACCUAGCUCCCAGCCAGAAGGUCCUCUCCACAGUCCCUCUCACAAGAUGCAGCUUCCUUUUUUGAGCCAGCAAGGAAGAGAAGUCUUUGGUGGUUUGAGGGCCCAGUCUCUAAUUUUAGGACUUUCUUCUGAUUAAGUCAGGCUCACCCACAAUAAUCUCUUUUUGACUGAAUAAAAUUAAUGUAUUUGGUG